rfam:Phaeospirillum molischianum DSM 120, WGS project CAHP01000000 data, contig: DSM120_global_c27-2373
CAACCGCCUUGAAAAGUUACGAGUGCCUUGGGGGAAACCCCGAGAGUAGAACCGCCCAAAUUCGGGGAAAGCUACCGCCUUCGACUGAAGGCCACGCCAAUCCCGAGCCAAGCCCCAUCAUAGGGGAAGGUGUAGAGACUAGACGGGUGGCACCUAAAGCCCCAGUGGCAACGGUGAAGGGAUAGUCCAGCCCACGAACGUAAG